rnacentral:rRNA from 1 species
GGCGCAGCUUACACAUGCAGUCGAGCGGUAACAGGGGGUGCUUGCACCCCGCUGACGAGCGGCGGACGGGUGAGUAAUGCAUAGGAAUCUGCCCAGUAGUGGGGGAUAGCCCGGGGAAACCCGGAUUAAUACCGCAUACGCCCUUUGGGGGAAAGCAGGGGAUCUUCGGACCUUGCGCUAUUGGAUGAGCCUAUGUCGGAUUAGCUAGUUGGUGGGGUAAAGGCCUACCAAGGCGACGAUCCGUAGCUGGUCUGAGAGGAUGAUCAGCCACAUCGGGACUGAGACACGGCCCGAACUCCUACGGGAGGCAGCAGUGGGGAAUAUUGGACAAUGGGGGCAACCCUGAUCCAGCCAUGCCGCGUGUGUGAAGAAGGCUUUCGGGUUGUAAAGCACUUUCAGUGAGGAGGAAAACCUUCUGGUUAAUACCCAUGAGGCUUGACGUUACUCACAGAAGAAGCACCGGCUAACUCCGUGCCAGCAGCCGCGGUAAUACGGAGGGUGCAAGCGUUAAUCGGAAUUACUGGGCGUAAAGCGCGCGUAGGUGGUUUGAUAAGCGAGAUGUGAAAGCCCCGGGCUUAACCUGGGAACGGCAUUUC